AUCUGAUUGGUAAAAUAGUUGUUAGAACAACCUGUAUACCACUCUACAGUUUGCAUUCUAUUUGCCUACAGGUGGUCGAACUCUACAAAUUAUUCGGGCCAAGAUAUCAGAUGGUGGUGAAUACACUUGUAUAGCUAUCAAUCAAGCUGGCGAAAGCAAGAAAAAGUUUUCCCUGACUGUUUAUGGUUUGUUUUUACUCUCUUCAUAAAAUUCUUUUAUUUUAAAACUGGUAUUCAAUAUUUUCUAUCUGAGCACCUUAAUGAAAAAAAAAAAAAUCCUUCUGUUUUCUUCCCUCAGUGCCCCCGAGCAUUAAAGACCAUGACAGUGAAUCUCUUUCUGUAGUUAAUGUAAGAGAGGGAACUUCUGUGUCUUUGGAGUGCGAGUCGAACGCUGUCCCACCUCCAGUCAUCACUUGGUAUAAGAAUGGGCGGAUGAUAACAGAGUCUACUCAUGUGGAGAUUUUAGCCGAUGGACAAAUGCUACACAUUAAGAAAGCUGAGGUAUCUGACACAGGCCAGUAUGUAUGUAGAGCUAUAAAUGUAGCAGGACGGGAUGAUAAAAAUUUCCACCUCAAUGUAUAUGUGCCACCCAGUAUUGAAGGACCUGAAAGAGAAGUGAUUGUGGAGACAAUCAGCAAUCCUGUGACGUUAACAUGUGAUGCCACUGGGAUCCCACCUCCCACGAUAGCAUGGUUAAAGAACCACAAGCACAUAGGUAAGUCAACUGUGCAUUUUGUGUGUGUGUGUAUUUUUUUUCUU
rnacentral:lncRNA from 1 species